GGCUUACGGGGAGCAUUAACCUCACCAGUAAUUUCACCUUGUUUCUUGAAGAGGGUGCCGUUAUUCUAGGCUCUCAGGACCCAAAGGAAUGGCCUAUUGUAGAGCCUUUGCCUUCUUAUGGAAGAGGGAGGGAGAGACUAGGAGGAAGACAUAUUAGCCUUAUUCAUGGAAAUGGCCUUACCAAUGUUGUCAUUACAGGGCCANNNNNNNNNNNACAAUUGAUGGUCAGGGGAAGAUGUGGUGGGAGUUAUGGUGGAACAGAACAUUGAAGCACACCAGAGGACACCUUGUAGAACUAAUGAACUCUCAUAAUAUCCUCAUCUCCAAUCUCACUUUCCGAAAUUCUCCAUUUUGGACCAUACACCCUGUUUACUGCAGCAAUGUUGUGGUUAAAGACAUGACAAUUUUGGCUCCCCUGAAUGCCCCGAAUACUGAUGGUAUAGACCCAGACUCGAGCACCAAUGUUUGUAUUGAGGACUGUUACAUUGAGAGUGGGGAUGAUCUUGUAGCAGUGAAGAGCGGAUGGGAUCAGUAUGGCAUCAAAAUGGCUCAUCCAAGUUCAAACAUUGUAGUGAAGAGAGUUUCGGGCACAACUCCAACUUGCUCUGGUGUUGGAAUAGGUAGCGAGAUGUCUGGAGGGAUCUUUAAUGUAACAAUUGAAGAUUUGCAUGUCUGGGAUUCAGCAGCAGGGGUGAGAAUAAAAACUGAUAUAGGCAGAGGAGGAUAUAUAGCAAAUAUUACUAUAAGUAAUAUAACAAUGG
rnacentral:misc_RNA from 1 species